CAUUGGAACUGAGCCAAGACAUUCUUAUAAGGAAAGAAAUUAAGCGGCCGAGGUAGACGUUCAUGGCCAUUCGAACAAGAUCUUUUAGAAGCAUGGAUGUGCUAUUUAUUUUCAUCGUGGACUGUUGGAAAUUGUGAGAAGCAGGAAAAAGAUAAGGACUUGAUGUACCUCACACGCAUGUGCUCCUGAAGAAGGCCAAACAGAUUCCAAACUCGAAGAUCGUGUUUCAGUAAAAUACAAUUUACUCUCAGUGGACAAGUUGGACCAUAGAAAUCAAAUGGUACCAUAUAUAGGAUAGUGAGUAAAGAAACAUUACAAUCGGAGUCCCUCGUGAGGAUUCGAACCUCACGCAGUCAGUUCAAAUGAGGCGAUCCCAGCUGGAUGAAGAGUUUCGCGCACUCCCGGCCCAGUGCUUGUUUAUUUUCGCGUCCCGAGGAGAGGUGCAGUGCAGAUUGCCCAUACUUCGGUCUCACCCUCUGGUACCUCGGCGUAAGCUCGUAUCAAUUUUUUUUUCGUUUUUGUUUUUAUUUAUUUUAUUUCCUUUUGUUGAUACGAGCAAUGAGCCGUUAAAUAGGUCUCAAACCCGGAGGCCAGACCCAUUUCGGUUGUCGGCUGUAACCACCAGAGGAUUGUGUCUGUACUCAAGCGGGGAUUAUAUUUAGCCUUUUAUCAAGCACCCUUGACAUCCAAAGUCCAAGGAAUACAAAACACUUUAGCCGAGUUGAAGAGAAUCUCCUUCUUAACUGAUGAAUGAGUAAAAACAGAAUUUACAGGACACAUUAAUGGCGACUGAAGCUUCUAGAGCUUAACUUGAGAGGGGUCACAGUAACUAAUUGUCUUUGUUAUCUCAAUCCUAAAUAUUUCCAAGGAAAACUGCGCAGCACAAUAUCAGCGGGGUAGGAAAAAUAUCUGGGUCAACGUCUGUAAGGAUUCUAAGCUUUACUAGCUUGGCAGAAAAAUUAGUGUGGGUUAACAUUCGUGAGGAUUCAAACCUCAUUAAUCGGUUUUGCUGCUGAAUGCUGUUAUGGCAGAGCAGAGAGAGGUAUUUUGUGUAAACGUACAUGGGGAUCCAAACUUCAGACUUUCCAAAAUCGGUAUCUAAUACUCUAUUAGUUGAGCUGAGAAAAAAAUAUUGGUCGACCUUUGCAAGGAAUUAUGUCUGAAACGUGUGAAAUGAAAGUUUCUGGUGGACUUUCAUGAGGAUUCAAACCUUAGAUCCACCGAUUUUGCUGUCAAAUACUCUACCUGCCGACGUAUACAAAACUCGUGUAGUUAUUUUUCUUAUCUCACAAUAAGUUAUUGUCUUCUGUUUGCUUCUUGAGUGUGUGAUCAACAGGUUAUACAGAUGCAGUUAUUCUUUGGCUGGAAUCAAACGCCUGCGGCAAUUCAGCCAUUUAGAGUACCGAUCAUUAUGAGCUGCUUUGCUGUUCAGGUUAUACAGAUCCAGUCAUUGUUUUGCUGGAAUAAAACGCCUGAUAUAUUCAAGUCAGUGAUUUAGUGGACCUACUGUUCAGGUUCGAGCAGUGAGCCGUUAAACCGAGGUCUUACACGCGGAGGUCCAGAUUCAUUUUGGUUUUCGGUUGUAAUCACCAAAGGACAGUGUCUGCAUUUCAGUGGGGGUUGUACUUGCUCGGGUUUUUUCCGAGACAUUUGACAUUUGAAGGCAAAAGAAUGUAAAACAAAAAAUAGCUGGGUUAGAAAGUUUCUCCUUUUAAAUCACAGAGUAAGGAUACCUGGCAUUCACAGAAGACGCAGUGACGGAGAGUGAAGCUUAUAGAGCUCAAUCAGGGGCUAUAAGGACUAAUUUUCUAUGUCACAGUCUCAUUGUAAGAAAUGUAUUGAGAAAGGUGCCCCUACCUUUUAGCGACGUGAGGAUUCAAACUUCGCUUUAAUCACAAGAAGGAUAU